CAAGCUUAGAGUAUGUCUGAGGGGGGGUGGAAUUCCGCCGUGUAGCAGUGAAAUGCGUAGAUAUGCGGAGGAACACCCAUGGCGAAGGCAGCCCCCUGGGAUAAUACUGACGCUCAGGCACGAAAGCGGGGGUAGCAAACAGGAUUAGAUACCCUGGUAGUCCACGCCCCUAAACGAUGUCAACUAGCUGUUGGGCCGGUUACGGCUUAGUAGCGCAGCUAACGCGUGAAGUUGACCGCCUGGGGACUACGGUCGCAAGACUAAAACUCAAAGGAAUUGACGGGGACCCGCACAAGCGGUGGAUGAUGUGGAUUAAUUCGAUGCAACGCGAAAAACCUUACCUACCCUUGACAUGCCCGGAAGCUUCAAGAGAUUGAAGUGUGCUCGCAAGAGAACCGGAGCACAGGUGCUGCAUGGCUGUCGUCAGCUCGUGUCGUGAGAUGUUGGGUUAAGUCCCGCAACGAGCGCAACCCUUGUCAUUAGUUGCUACGCAAGAGCACUCUAAUGAGACUGCCGGUGACAAACCGGAGGAAGGUGGGGAUGACGUCAAGUCCUCAUGGCCCUUAUGGGUAGGGCUUCACACGUCAUACAAUGGUCAGGACAGCGGGUUGCCAAACCGCGAGGUGGAGCUAAUCUCAAAAACCUGAUCGUAGUCCGGAUUGCGGGCUGCAACUCGCCUGCAUGAAGUCGGAAUCGCUGGUAAUCGCAGAUCAGAAUGCUGCGGUGAAUACGUUCCCGGGUCUUGUACACACCGCCCGUCA
rnacentral:rRNA from 1 species